CUUGAGCAAAUGCUUGGGAGCUCUUCCUGUUGACUUAAGUUACACUGACAUCACUCUAACACAGUUCUCAGUUAACCUUGGCAGCACCACGUGGAACUGUAAGAGAAUGCUUUUCACAUUAGUGUGUCCUUACCUAUGGUUAGGAAUGGUUUUUUUACCAUAAAAUCUUACACUUUGCCCUACUAAUUUGCUAACAGAGAGCACCUGGCUCAUGCUUUGCAGCAGAAGAGCCCAGUUCUGCAGGAAACCCUGCACUGCCAGCCCCCCACCUCACCUGCAGUGCUCAGUGGGGGCAUAUUUGGAGUUACUGUGUGAACCAACACAUGCCUUAUUCCUAAUACAAUACAAGUUCUGUAUUAGGAAGAUCAUUUUUGGUACGUGUUUCAUGACACCUGUUCUGGGGAUUGCUACAGCCACAAAUCUGAAAUGCCUUGGUUUCUCCAGGGAUCCUGAAACCACGCUCAGCACAAGACCAGGGUUCAUGCUCUACUUUGAAAACUGUGUCUUACUUCUUGGCUUCCCUUGGUGUGCCUCCCUCAGUGAGACUGGAUACCUUUUUGUUGGGCAUCAGGAGUCAGAAGGAGUUAAGAAAAAUUGCUUUAAAGGCCCAAGAAUAUUUUAUAACUGUUUUGUUUUUGUGCCUCCAUCUGCUGAUAUCACUUCCACCCAGUAUCAAGAUUCCUCAUGUGACUCUUAUCCAUCAAUUAGCAUGUCACGACUAUGGGAAGCACCACAGCACAAACAGAGCUCAAACACCUCUAAUGCUGCUAAAAGAUUUAUGCCAGUUAAGUAUUUGUCUCCCUCUCUGCUUUCCAUACAUAAGAUGAUGUGGGUCUGAAAGCAACCACAAAGAAACCCUUGUCUAUUAUUGCUCUGUCCUGAAACCUGGUGAAUAUUCGAGCAUCUUUUUCACUUCGACACAGUUUUUAGCUGAAUUGCUAAUUUCUAAGUAGAUUUCAGGAAUAAAUAUUUCUAUACUCACUGUUAUUACUUUUAGAACAAACUUUACGAGGCUUUUCAGGUUUCCUGUUCAGCUGAUCUCCCAGUUGGGAUUGCUGGAUUAGCUCUCCCCAAUGCACUGCGCUCGGCAACUUUCUGAGAAACAAGAAUUCAGCUGACACAGUCUGAUUCUACAGCUUGCAGAGAGUUUGUCCCAGUGAUAUCUGCCACCACUUUCAUUAGGAUUUGAUGCUAUUCACUGUUUUCCAGAGAUUCUCAAGAGUCAUCCUUUAUUUGUGCUGAUACCGUAUUAAAAUAAGUAUUGUAAGAAUUGUAAUUCCAAAUUGUACGAAGUCAGUAAUAAAUAGUCCUAAUUAGUAGACAGAAAUAAAUAACUUUAAUCUAAA